CUUGACGGAGAAGGCUAGUUCAGCAGGGGUUGGUUCCCUGUUUAAGCAUGUAGGAGGAGUUGCCAGGCAAAUCCGGCAGCUCUUAACUCCGAGGUGUGAUGACGAGGCUCCACGCGAGCCGAAGUGAAUAACGCCCCGCUUCCAGGAAAAGCCUCUAAGCUUCAGAUCACAUUGGACCGUACCGUAAACCGACACUGGUGGGUGAGCAGAUAAUCUGCCAAGGCGCUUGAGAGAACUCGGGUUAAGGAACUCUGCAAAUUGGUACCGUAACUUCGGAAGAAGGUAUGCCUUCGACGGUGCAGGGAUUUACUCCCGAAGCUGUUGAAGGUCGCAGGUAAUCGGUGGCUGCGACUGUUUAUCAAAAACACAGGACUCUGCGAACACGCAAGUGGAAGUAUAGGGUCACGCCUGCCCGGUGCCGGAAGGUUAAUUGAUGGGGUUAGCCGCAAGGCGAAGCUCUUGAUCGAAGCCCCGGUAAACGGCGGCCGUAACGAUAACGGUCCUAAGGUAGCGAAAUUCCUUGUCGGGUAAGUUCCGACCUGCACGAAUGGCGUAACGCUGCCACACUGUCUCGACCCGAGACUCAGUGAAGUUGAAAUCGCUGUGAAGAUGCGGCGUUCCCGCGGCAAGACGGAGAGACCCCGUGAACCUUCACUACAGCUUUACACUGAACUUUGAACCUUUCUGUGUAGGAUAGGUGGGAGGCUAUGAAACUUGGGCGCUAGCUCGAGUGGAGCCAACCUUGAAAUACCACCCUGGGAUGUUUGAAGUUCUAACCUUGGUCCGUAAUCCGGAUUGGGGACAGUGUAUGGUGGGUAGUUUGACUGGGGCGGUCUCCUCCCAAAGAGUAACGGAGGAGUGCAAUGGUACGCUCAGCGCGGUCGGUCAUCGCGCUCUCUAGUGCAAAGGCAUAAGCGUGCUUAACUGUGAGACAGACACGUCGAACAGGUACGAAAGUAGGUCUUAGUGAUCCGGUGGUUCUGUAUGGAAGGGCCAUCGCUCAACGGAUAAAAGGUACUCCGGGGAUAACAGGCUUAUUCCUCCCAAGAGUCCACAUCGACGGAGGAGUUUGGCACCUCGAUGUCGGCUCAUCACAUCCUGGGGCUGUAGCAGGUCCCAAGGGUAUGGCUGUUCGCCAUUUAAAGUGGUACGCGAGCUGGGUUCAGAACGUCGUGAGACAGUUCGGUCCCUAUCUGCCGUGGGCGUUGGAAACUUGAGGGUGAGCUGUCCUUAGUACGAGAGGACCGGGAUGGACGUAUCUCUGGUGUUCCGGUUGUCACGCCAGUGGCACUGCCGGGUAGCUAUAUACGGACGGGAUAAGCGCUGAAAGCAUCUAAGCGCGAAGCCCCCCCCAAGAUUAGGUUUCCCUGGGAACUCGAUUCCCCUAAAGGGCCGUCGGAGACUACGACGUUGAUAGGCUGGGUGUGUAAGUGCAGCAAUGCAUUGAGCUAACCAGUACUAAUUGCCCGUGAGGCUUGACCGA
rnacentral:rRNA from 1 species